CUCCAGGCAGGGCUCCUCGGCGUCCCUCCGGGCCCCGACGGAGGUGCCGGAGAUCUUCCGGCUACAAACCCGGGCAGGUGGAGCUCGUUAGCCGUGGUAGGCAAUCUGCCUAGGAGAGCAAACUCUAUACAAACCCGGGCAGGUGGAGGUCGUUAGCCGUGGUAGGCAAUUCACCUAGGAGAGCAAACUCUAAACAAACCCGGGCAGGUGGAGGUCGUUAGCCGUGGUAGGCAAUUCACCUAGGAGAGCAAACUCUAAACAAACCCGGGCAGGUGGAGGUCGUUAGCCGUGGGAGGCAAUUCACCUAGGAGAGCAAACUCUAAACAAACCCGGGCAGGUGGAGCUCGUUAGCCGUGGGAGGCAAUUCACCUAGGAGAGCAAACUCUAAACAAACCCGGGCAGGUGGAGGUCGUUAGCCGUGGUAGGCAAUUCACCUAGGAGAGCAAACUCCGAACAAUAAACCCGGGCAGGUGGAGCUCGUCAGCCGUGGGAGGCAAUUCACCUAGGAGAGCAAACUCUAAACAAACCCGGGCAGGUGGAGGUCGUUAGCCGUGGUAGGCAAUUCACCUAGGAGAGCAAACUCUAUACAAACCCGGGCAGGUGGAGGUCGUUAGCCGUGGUAGGCAAUUCACCUAGGAGAGCAAACUCUAUACAAACCCGGGCAGGUGGAGGUCGUCAGCCGUGGGAGGCAAUUCACCUAGGAGAGCAAACUCUAAACAAACCCGGGCAGGUGGAGGUCGUUAGCCGUGGGAGGCAAUUCACCUAGGAGAGCAAACUCCGAACAACAAACCCGGGCAGGUGGAGCUCGUCAGCCGUGGUAGGCAAUACACCUAGGAGAGCAAACUCCGAACAACAAACCCGGGCAGGUGGAGCUCGUCAGCCGUGGUAGGCAAUCUGCCUAGGAGAGCAAACUCCGAACAACAAACCCGGGCAGGUGGAGGUCGUCAGCCGUGGUAGGCAGUCUGCCUAGGAGAGCAAACUCUAAAUAAACCCGGGCUUGUGGUGCUCGUUAUACUGUCGUAGACAAUCCACGCGAUGGGAACACCAAAGAAAAGGAAAAUAAAAAAACACCAGAAAAAUGGAAAAUACAGAAACGAAACAUCAAGAAAAGAAACAAAAAGAUCAUCCACCUUUAGGCCCUAACAUCGCCAAAAUUAUGGGUGGGUCUCUUCUGGGGAGAAAGCGGCUCACCCAGACCAAAGAACAUCAACAAAAGGAUGAUAUGAAUAAAUGAACAUAAAAAAAACAAAGAAAAACACAUCAAGGAAAGAAAAAUAUAACAAACAUCAUCCACCUUCCGGCCCUGACUAACAUCACCAAAAUUAUGGGUGGGUCUCUUCUGGGGAGAAAGCGGCUCACCCAGACCAAAGAACAUCAA